GGAAAUUUUUCGCCUUUUUUCUCAGCAUUGCUAUUGUCCAGAAAAAGAUGAUUGAAUUGAGACUGUGAUUCAACAAGGCUAUUGUAAUAGCCCAAGACUGAAUCACGCGGCAACAUUUUUGGGCUGACGUUAGGAGAUAAAACAGAAACGAUGGAUACAGGCAUAACGCAAAGCAGAAAUACAACAAUUAUAAGAAAGCAGGACUUGGCUAUUUUGAUUUCCUUUGCGAAUUGUUGUUUCCUCUUUUUCUCGGAUGGAUUAUGUUCCACAAAAGUAUGACCAGGUCGGUUUUCUAAUCGAAAUCUUCUUCUGGCUGUCUGGAAG